AGAUCAAAGCCCAUUUCUCUGGAGUAAUUUGUCUAUCCAAAUCCUUUUCCCAUUGUGUCACAUAUGGACAGGGGUGAAAGUAACUUAAAGGACUUACCGUGUUAUCUGGGAGGAUUUUAGAAAGAUUUUUGAAACAAGAAAGAUUCUUGGCAAAACUUUCAUUUUGACUAUGGCCUUUUUUCACAACUAAGAAAUUCCAUACUUCCUCCAGCAGUCCACAUCUUUUUAACUUUGAAGUACUCAAGUGGAUGGAGGCUCAUGCUUCUAGCACUGAAAGGCCAGGCAAUGACUCAUGAUGACAGGCUGUCAUUAAGCCAUCCUGAUGGUAACAGAUGACCUCCUCCCCUCCUCAAAAUUGGGGCCAGCCAUUUUAGCGAGACAUGUCCUCUUCCCUGUUCUUUAAUACCAGCCUGAUGAUGAGGCCCGCCCACCACAAUCCUCUUCCCUUACAGACCUUUUGUCAGUCAUCUAUACUUCCUGAGAGAUUACCCAUUCCCACUUUCUACUGAUGAAACCCCUGCCCACAAUGUCACCAAGCACCCUAGCCCACUUCUUCUCUCCCCUUCCACCCCCGUAUACCUAAG